rnacentral:rRNA from 1 species
GCAAUACGGAUGGUGGCGACCGGCGCACGGGUGAGUAACACGUAUGCAACCUACCUUUAACAGGGAAUAACCCGUGAAAAACGGACUAAUACUCCAUAACACAGGGUCCCGCAUGGGAAUAUUUGUUAAAGAUUAAUCGGUUGAAGAUGGGCAUGCGUUCCAUUAGCUUGUUGGUGAGGUAACGGCUCACCAAGGCCACGAUGGAUAGGGAACUGAGAGGUUUAUCCCCCACACUGGAACUGAGACACGGUCCAGACUCCUACGGGAGGCGGCAGUGAGGAAUAUUGGUCAAUGGAGGCAACUCUGAACCAGCCAAGUCGCGUUAGAAGGAUGAAGGUCUUAUGGAUUGUAAACUUCUUUUGCAAGGGAAUAAGGUGGGGGACGUGUCCUCCUUUGCAUGUACCUUGCGAAUAAGGAUCGGCUAACUCCGUGCCAGCCGCCGC